UACAGGGGUCUCAAGCGUUGUUCGGAUUCAUUGGGCGUAAAGGGUGCGUAGGUGGCGUGGUAAGUCGGGUGUGAAAUUUCGGAGCUUAACUCCGAAACUGCAUUCGAUACUGCCGUGCUUGAGGACUGGAGAGGAGACUGGAAUUUACGGUGUAGCGGUGAAAUGCGUAGAUAUCGUAAGGAAGACCAGUGGCGAAGGCGGGUCUCUGGACAGUUCCUGACGCUGAGGCACGAAGGCCAGGGGAGCAAACGGG
rnacentral:rRNA from 1 species